rnacentral:rRNA from 1 species
AUUGUGUGAAUACAUAGCACAUUCGAGGUAGACGCAGAGAACUGAAACAUCUAAGUACCUGCAGGAAGAGAAAGAAAAUUCGAUUCCCUGAGUAGCGGCGAGCGAAACGGGAAAAGCCCAAACCAGCAAGCUUGCUUGUUGGGGUUGUAGGACUCCAAUAUGGUAGUUCUUUCAGAUAGUCGAAUGACUUGGAAAAGUCAGUCAAAGAGGGUAAAAACCCCGUAGACGAAAUGUGGAAGACACCUAGGAGGAUCCUGAGUACGGCGGAACACGAGAAAUUCCGUCGGAAUCCGGGAGGACCAUCUCCCAAGGCUAAAUACUCCCUAGUGACCGAUAGUGAACCAGUACCGUGAGGGAAAGGUGAAAAGCACCCCGGAAGGGGAGUGAAAUAGAACCUGAAACCGUGUGCCUACAACAAGUCAAAGCCCGUUAAUGGGUGAUGGCGUGCCUUUUGUAGAAUGAACCGGCGAGUUACGAUUGCAUGCGAGGUUAAGUUGAAGAGACGGAGCCGCAGCGAAAGCGAGUCUGAAUAGGGCGUUUGAGUAUGUAGUCGUAGACCCGAAACCAUGUGAUCUACCCAUGUCCAGGUUGAAGGUGCGGUAAAACGCACUGGAGGACCGAACCCACGUACGUUGAAAAGUGCGGGGAUGAGGUGUGGGUAGCGGAGAAAUUCCAAACGAACUUGGAGAUAGCUGGUUCUCUCCGAAAUAGCUUUAGGGCUAGCCUCGGAAUUGAGAAUGAUGGAGGUAGAGCACUGUUUGGACUAGGGGCCCAUCUCGGGUUACCGAAUUCAGAUAAACUCCGAAUGCCAUUCAUUCAUAUCCGGGAGUCAGACUG